rnacentral:rRNA from 1 species
CGGGCAGGUGGUCUGUUAAGUCUUCUGUGAAACUCCGGGGCUCAACUCCGGACAUGCAAAAGAUACUGGCAGACUGGAGUAUGGUAGAGGCAAGCGGAAUUCCUGGUGUAGCGGUGGAAUGCGUAGAUAUCAGGAAGAACACCUGUGGCGAAGGCGGCUUGCUGGGCCAUUACUGACACUCAUCCGCGAAAGCGUGGGGAGCAAACAGGAUUAGAUACCCUGGUAGUCC